UGUUGCCAUGGCAACAGUAAAUUGACCUGGUACACUGGUGGGUGGGUCUGAUUGAAUGCUGCUUUCAUCCUGGCCCUGUUUCAGCUAGUCCUCAAUCUGAUCUGGUGUCCGAGCUCCACCUCUGGAGAUCAUCGUGGAAUCUUUUUGAAGACAUUUGAAUGGCAAAAUAAAUCCUUUACGCAUAGUACUGGCAAAGAGCCCAGCUGAGCUGAAGCAGGAACACUAUGAGCAGCUUUUCUCAGGUUUGCAACUUCGGGGGAAAUGGCAAUUCCUUAAAGGCAGCUGCCCGGCCAGCAGCAAUGAUAAGAUGCCAGCGAUUAUAGAAUGCACCCCAGUUUCAAAGUUGCUAAUGUGAAACAUCAUGCUUCUAAGAAUCAACAAAAUAUAGUAAUGUACUCACUUUGUCUAUUAUCUAGCUGCCUCUACUAGUUAGCAAGCUCUGUGAUGAUGACAGUAAACUUGGUGUAUCUACUGAUACCUCACCAGUGCCUAUAACAGGACUUGGCCCAUAGUACCGAGAACUGGAGAAUGACCACAGUUCCAUGUUUUCUUAUAAACAACUAGUCAAGUUUUGACACUGUAAGAAAACAAGAGACCUCCAAUCAAGUGAAUGGACCCGCUUCUGGCUAAGGGAAUCUCAGAAAAAGCUUAAAAACGAAGUUCCUGGCCAUGACGGAAGAGGAGGUCAGACACAUCUUGUCAUACCCCUUCCCUUUUGUGGUUUAGCUACAACAACUGACCAGCAUUCAUGUUAAAAUAGAAAUCAUCAGACUGAUGGGAUACGGAUGCUUUGUGGCCAUAAGAUACCAAAUUAUGAACAGGACCUAAAGCCUUGCCAGGCAAGGGUUAAGCCACACACCCUACACUUUAAAAGAAUAAACUAUGUUCUAACGGCCA